rnacentral:rRNA from 1 species
UGCUUUACACAUGCAAGUUGAACGGCAGCACGGAGGAAGUUUUACUUUUUUGGGGGCGAGUGGCGGACGGGUGAGUAAAUGUAUCGGAACGUGCCCCAGUAGUGGGGGGAUAACUACGCGAAAGCGUAGCUAAUACCGCAUAUUCUCUUCGGAGGAAAGGGGGGGAUCAUUUGACCUCUCGCUAUUGGAGCGGCCGAUAUCAGAUUAGUUAGUUGGUGGGGUAACGGCCUACCAAGGCAGUGAUCUGUAGCUGGUUUGAGAGGACGACCAGCCACACUGGGACUGAGACACGGCCCAGACUCCUACGGGAGGCAGCAGUGGGGAAUUUUCGACAAUGGGGGAAACCCUGAUCGAGCCAUCCCGCGUGUGGGACGAAGGCCUUCGGGUUGUAAACCACUUUUCUUAGCGAAGAAAAGUCUUAGGCUAAUACCUUAAGACGCUGACGGUAGCUAAGGAAUAAGCAUCGGCUAACUACGUGCCAGCAGCCGCGGUAAUACGUAGGAUGCAAGCGUUAAUCGGAAUUACUGGGCGUAAAGGGUGCGCAGGCGGCUUGGAAAGAACGGUGUGGAAUCCCGGGGCUCAACCCCGGAACUGCACUAUUAACUAUCAAGCUAGAGUAUGUCAGAGGGGGGUGGAAUUCCGCGUGUAGCAGUGAAAUGCGUAGAUAUAUGGAGGAACACCAGUGGCGAAGGCGGUUCUCUGGGCUCACAUUGACGCUGAGGCUCGAAAGCGUGGGGAGCGAACAGGAUUAGAUACCCUGGUAGUCCACGCCGUAAACGAUGAGUGCUAAGUGUUGGGGGGCUUCCACCCCUCAGUGCUGGCGUUAACGCAAUAA